AUGCUCACUUUGACAGCACAUAUAGUAAAAAGGAAUCAUUCAGAGAAGAUUAGCAUGGCCCCUGAGGAAGGGUGACAUGCAAAUCCAUGAAGCGUUCCAUAUUUUU